rnacentral:rRNA from 1 species
CGGAGCGACGCCGCGUGCGGGAUGAAGGCCUCGGGUUGUAACCGCUGUCAGUGGGGAGCAAAUGCAUCGGGGUUCUCCCCGGUGUUGAGCGAUCCGCAGAGGAAGCACAGGCUAAUCCGUGCCAGCAGCCGCGGUAAUACGGAAUGUGCAAACGUUAUUCGGAAUCACUGGGCUUAAAGAGUCCGUAGGCGGCUUGUUAGGUGAGGUGUGAAAUCCCCCGGCUCAACCGAGGAAUUGCGCUUCAAACCGGCGAGCUUGAGGAAGAUAGAGGUGGGCGGAACUGAUGGUGGAGCGGUGAAAUGCGUUGAUAUCAUCAGGAACACCGGAGGCGAAAGCGGCCCACUGGGUCUUAUCUGACGCUGAGGGACGAAAGCUAGGGGAGCGAACGGGAUUAGAUACCCCGGUAGUCCUAGCCUUAAACGAUGAGCACUAGACCGAAGGAUUUCCACAAUUUUUUGGUCGUAGCGAAAGUGUUAAGUGCUCCGCCUGGGGAGUAUGGUCGCAAGGCUG